AACGAACGCUGGCGGCAUGCCUAACACAUGCAAGUCGAACGAGACCUUCGGGUCUGGUGGCGCACGGGUGCGUAACGCGUGGGAACCUGCCCUUAGGUUCGGAAUAACUCUCCGAAAGGGGUGCUAAUUCCGGAUAAUGUCUUCGGACCAAAGAUUGAUCGCCUUUGGAUGGGCCCGCGUUGGAUUAGCUAGUUGGUAGGGUAAAAGCCUACCAAGGCGACGAUCCAUAGCUGGUCUGAGAGGAUGAUCAGCCACACUGGGACUGAGACACGGCCCAGACUCCUACGGGAGGCAGCAGUGGGGAAUAUUGGACAAUGGGCGAAAGCCUGAUCCAGCAAUGCCGCGUGAGUGAUGAAGGCCUUAGGGUUGUAAAGCUCUUUUACCCGGGAUGAUAAUGACAGUACCGGGAGAAUAAGCUCCGGCUAACUCCGUG
rnacentral:rRNA from 1 species